UACAGAGGGGGCAAGCGUUAUUCGGAAUUAUUGGGCGUAAAGGGCGCGUAGGCGGCCUGGCAAGUGGAAGGUGAAAUCCCUCGGCUUAACCGAGGAACUGCCUCCCAAACUGCUUGGCUUGAGACCGGGAGAGGUGAGUGGAAUUCCCAGUGUAGCGGUGAAAUGCGUAGAUAUUGGGAGGAACACCGGUGGCGAAGGCGGGUCUCUGGGCAGCAACUGACGCUGAGGAGCGAAAGCGUGGGGAGCAAACGGG
rnacentral:rRNA from 1 species